rnacentral:rRNA from 1 species
UACAGAGGUCUCAAGCGUUUGUUCGGAUUCAUUGGGCGUAAAGGGUGCGUAGGCGGCGCGGUAAGUCGGGUGUGAAAUCUUGGAGCUUAACUCCGAAACUGCAUUCGAUACUGCCGUGCUUGAGGACUGGAGAGGAGACUGGAAUUUUACGGUGUAGCGGUGAAAAUGCGUAGAUAUCGUAAGGAAGACCAGUGGCGAAGGCGGGUCUCUGGACAGUUCCUGACACUGAGACACGAAGGCCAGGGGGAGCAAAACGGGG